UACGGAGGGGACUAGCGUUGUUCGGAAUUACUGGGCGUAAAGCGCACGUAGGCGGAUUUGUAAGUCAGGGGUGAAAUCCCGGGGCUCAACCCCGGAACUGCCUUUGAUACUGCGAAUCUCGAGUCCGGAAGAGGUGAGUGGAAUUCCUAGUGUAGAGGUGAAAUUCGUAGAUAUUAGGAAGAACACCAGUGGCGAAGGCGGCUCACUGGUCCGGUACUGACGCUGAGGUGCGAAAGCCAGGGGAGCGAACGGG
rnacentral:rRNA from 1 species